UUUUGCAGUUUUUUGCCUCUUAAAUGCUACGCUACCUACUUAGGGAAAGGAAAACAUACUCAGAGGUCUGUUGUUGCUGUCAAACGCGAUCAAGAUAAUAUAACUCUUUAAUUCUCAAAAAAACAAUUUCUACUGAUUGAGAGACACCCAACUGUUCCUUCCCAUGAUUCUGCAGUUCCUCUAUAUAUUUGCUAAGUAAAUAGUCAUCAAGAUGUUUUCACAUUGCUGUACAGCAAUAAAUUCCGGUCAGCCUCAGCCAAGACAACCUGAUAAAUUCUGGUCAUGGUUGGUUUGUGCGGUUGGGACGUUUAUCUUCACAUUGACUAUUGGUUUGGCGUUUACUUACGGCGUGUUUUUGCCUGUUUAUAUGGAUGAAUUUGACAGCUCGAUAGAGGAAUUAUCUGCUGUAGGGUCUGUUGCGCAAGGUCUCGUCUUCUUUUGCGUCCCACUUUCCUGUGGCAUCAUGGCGGCGAUCAAUUUUCAGCGAAGUGCCCU